AUUGAACGCUGGCGGCAGGCCUAACACAUGCAAGUCGAGCGAGCGGCGGACGGGUGAGUCAUGCCUGGGAAUUGCCCAGUCGAGGGGGAUAACAGUUGGAAACGACUGCUAAUACCGCAUACGAUUGGAUUGCCCAGGUGGGUUUAGCUAGUUGGUGAGGUAAUGUCUCACCAAGGCGACGAUCCCUAGCGGGUCUGAGAGGAAGAUCGGCCACACUGGGACGGAGACACGGCCCAGAAUCCUACGGGAGGAAGCAGUGGGGAAUAUUGCGAAAUGGGGGAAACCCUGAUGCAGCCAUGCCGCGUGUGUGAAGAAGGCCUUCGGGUUGUAAAGCACUUUCAGCGGGGAGGCGUUACUCGCAGAAGAAGCACCGGCUAACUCCGUGCCAGCAGCCGCGGUAAUAC
rnacentral:rRNA from 1 species